AUUCAGCUGACGAGUCCUAAAUAGGAUGAAACACGCGUCAAGCUGGAU
rnacentral:hammerhead_ribozyme from 1 species